AAAACAAUACGGGACAUUGUUGGAAUUAUAAGUUCUACUGACGUGCGCCGGCCAGUGCAUUUGCCUUUGAUCCCCUAUCUAACUGCCCAGUCGUCGGACGAAGCGGGGGGGAUCAUCGAGAUAACUUUCUCUACCUAACCAUAACUUCUCAUGACAAAACCAAAUAACACCAAAAUAAGUGUUAUGUCACAAACGUUUACAUUGUUCAUGUAGUGGAGUAAUAAGUAUAAUAUUUCUCUUUGAAAUGUAGUUGAGUAGAAGUAGAAAGACGUAUGAGGAGAAAGGAAUUAAAUUAAGUACAAUGCAUAAGUAAAUGUACUUAGUUACUGUACAUUUCACCACUGCUGACAAAUAUACACGCGCUGCUCUGUGGGACCAGUCUGGAGAUUCAGCGGGCGAACUGAGUGACAUCAAACUGUCUUUAUAAUAAUCGUUAAAUGGCCUAGAAUAUGCGCUGGCAGCUGACAAUAUACCUGAGGGUUCUUGUAGGUCUUCAUCUUGUAGACAGAUUUCCAGGAAUUCAGAAAUUGUGAUUCUUAAUUAAAUACAAUUUUAAUUAUAGUAUCAAAUCAUGACAAUAGUUAUCUCAAUACACUUGCAGAUAGAGUAGAUCUAGGCCACAUUCUACAAUAAACAAAGACCCAACAUUUUCCCACGAGCUAGCACUUGGUGGAAUUCAUUUUGUUUUUGUUUUCUGCAUUUAAACCAAAUGAUUAUUUGACUCAGGUCUGCUUGAGUGUAGCAAGAUAUUAGAAAUACCAGAAACUAUGGCAAGCAAUGUGGUCCAAAGGUGUAACUUGUAACUUUGAGCACUUGUUUAUCAGACAUCUUUUAUCAAAUUGUGAUGACCCAUUGUAUAAUAUACUGUGUGGUAAUCUUUGAAAAUGCAGAGCAGGUAGACCUCAGGUUGACCUAUAUGCACUCACACACACAGCAUUACACAUAGCACACAUUCAAGCACAUACAGUACAUGUUACAUACACAUAUCAUACAAAGAUGUCAAUGUCAAAACACUCCAGGGUGUUUCUGUAGUUGUUUGAGGUGUAGUCUACAUCCACAAUGGUUCACUUCCGGGAUUGCUCCAGUGCCGAUGGAUAUUCAACCGGAUGUCCACUUUCGCUUUCUUUGAUUUUGACAUUUUAAACUCCAGUGGAUUUACGAGUAUUAUGGCGAACUGCUCCUCAGAUCUCUGUAGGGAAAAUCCCAACAGCUAGCUAGACUAUCUGUCCAAUCUGAGUUUUCUGUUCCACGACUAAAAUUACUUUUGAGUGUACACAUUUUCCACCAAAACCAGUUUCUUCCCGAGGCUAUUUUGCAGCGGCACCGGGGCUCCGCCCGGCGCUUAGCACCGCCCUUGGACGAUAGACCUUUUUCACGGCAGACACGUUGACAUGUCAUAGUAGGAAAAGCACUGGUGUAUUGAAAACCAUUAAGGAUGGCUGCAGGAGAGACUCUGGUAAUGUGCAUGACUACCUGAGGCCUUGGUCAUUUUGUCAAACGGAGACAUUUCCCUUUAUUUGUGCCCUUCGUUUACACGCAAACUGAGAAUUCACCUCUGAAAACGAGUGUUUCUAAAAACUCCGACCAGAGAGGAGAUCUUUGAAAUCUUUGUUUUCAUGUUAACUGAGACAAACGGAGGUUUGGGCAGCUGAGGAAUAGAAGAAAGACGAAGUGAUUGGUUGUUGUUGUUGGUAAUUUAGGGAUUCUGAUUGGCUAAUGCGGGCUUGAGAUUUUUGUUACACUGCCACCUACAGGUUUGGCCUGCUCUUGACAGCAUAUAUACACAGGUAUGUGUAAAUGAACACUUUUCUGAAAACUGACAACUGUGCACAAUGUUUUUUGUGACACUGGAGAGGUUGAAAUGUCCGUUUAUGGAUAUAGCCGGCCACAUGUAAACAUAGCCUAAAAUAGCUUACUGGGACAUUUAAUGCCAUGAGCCAUUGUUAAGGUUAUCAAUCUCAGCUGUGCUUUUCCUACUAUGACAAGUCAAAAUG